AGAGUUUGAUCCUGGCUCAGGAUGAACGCUGGCGGCGUGCCUAACACAUGCAAGUCGAGCGAGAUUUAGUGUAGUGGAGACUUCGGUCAAAGUGAAACUGAUGAAAGCGGCGGACGGGUGAGUAACGCGUGGGCAACCUGCCCCAUACAAAGGGAUAGCCACUGGAAACGGUGAUUAAUACCUUAUAAGUCGGUAGUCUCGCAUGAGACAGCCGACAAAGAUUUAUCGGUAUGGGAUGGGCCCGCGUUUGAUUAGCUAGUUGGUAGGGUAAAGGCCUACCAAGGCGACGAUGGUUAGCUGGUCUGAGAGGAUGAUCAGCCACACUGGAACUGAGACACGGUCCAGACUCCUACGGGAGGCAGCAGUGGGGAAUUUUGCGCAAUGGGGGAAACCCUGACGCAGCAACGCCGCGUGAGUGAUGAAGGCCCUUGGGUCGUAAAGCUCUGACAGAGGGAAAGAAGUGUAGAGUGGCUAAUAUCCACAUUACUUGACGGUACCCUCAAAGGAAGCACCGGCUAACUCCGUGCCAGCAGCCGCGGUAAUACGGGGGGUGCAAGCGUUGUUCGGAUUUAUUGGGCGUAAAGCGCGUGUAGGCGGUUUUGUAAGUCUGAUGUGAAAGCCCUGGGCUCAACCCGGGAAGUGCAUUGGAUACUGUAAGACUUGAAUACGGGAGAGGGCAGUGGAAUUCCUAGUGUAGGAGUGAAAUCCGUAGAUAUUAGGAGGAACACCGGUGGCGAAGGCGGCUGCCUGGACCGAUAUUGACGCUGAGACGCGAAAGCGUGGGUAGCAAACAGGAUUAGAUACCCUGGUAGUCC
rnacentral:rRNA from 1 species